UACAGAGGUCUCAAGCGUUGUUCGGAUUCAUUGGGCGUAAAGGGAGCGUAGGUGGCGGGGUUAGUCAGGUGUGAAAUCUCGGGGCUCAACCCCGAAACUGCACUUGAUACUGCCUUGCUAGAGUACUGGAGAGGAGAUUGGAAUUUACGGUGUAGCAGUGAAAUGCGUAGAUAUCGUAAGGAAGACCAGUGGCGAAGGCGGGUCGCUGGACAGUUCCUGACGCUGAGGCACGAAGGUCAGGGGAGCAAACGGG
rnacentral:rRNA from 1 species